rnacentral:rRNA from 1 species
UACGUAGGUGACGAGCGUUAUCCGGAAUUACUGGGCGUAAAGCGCGCGCAAGCGGUUGGACAAGUCUGGCGUGAAAUCUCCUGGCUUAACUAGGAGCGGUCGCUGGAAACUGUUCGGCUUGAGGCGAUGAGAGGGGUGCAGAAUUCCCGGUGUAGUGGUGGAAUGCGUAGAUAUCGGGGGGAAUACCAGUGGCGAAAGCGGCACCCUAGCGUUAGCCUGACGCUCAUGUGCGAAAGCGUGGGGAGCGAACGGG